AACAAGCCCUAACUUGUUUAUAUACAGCCUGGACAAAUGAAUUUGUGUCAUAGACCAACCAACAUUGCAGGCAGUGACUCAAUUGAGGAAGACCACCGUCGUCAAAAUAAAGGUUCAGGUCCAUAUGGGGCAAUCAAUUGUGAAAUUUGUGGUCAUGAAGAGUAAAAAAUGGGAAGAAAUCCCAUCGCCAGCUGAGAGGCACAGAUACAAAAUUAAUAGUAGGCACUGACAAUGUGA
rnacentral:lncRNA from 1 species